rnacentral:rRNA from 1 species
CGAUAUGAGGCGGGCUGGACCUCUCGGGGUUACAGCCUUGCUGAAUUAUUCACCCUUGUCUUUUGCGUACUUCUUGUUUCCUUGGUGGGUUCGCCCACCACUAGGACAAACAUAAACCUUUUGUAAUUGCAAUCAGCGUCAGUAACAAAUUAAUAAUUACAACUUUCAACAACGGAUCUCUUGGUUCUGGCAUCGAUGAAGAACGCAGCGAAAUGCGAUAAGUAGUGUGAAUUGCAGAAUUCAGUGAAUCAUCGAAUCUUUGAACGCACAUUGCGCCCUUUGGUAUUCCAAAGGGCAUGCCUGUUCGAGCGUCAUUUGUACCCUCAAGCUUUGCUUGGUGUUGGGCGUCUUGUCUCUAGCUUUGCUGGAGACUCGCCUUAAAGUAAUUGGCAGCCGGCCUACUGGUUUCGGAGCGCAGCACAAGUCGCACUCUCUAUCAGCAAAGGUCUAGCAUCCAUUAAGCCUUUUUUUCAACUUUUGACCUCGGAUCAGGUAGGGAUACCCGCUGAACUUAAGCAUAUCUA